AGUGAACGCUGGCGGUAGGCUUAACACAUGCAAGUCGAACGGCAGCACAGUAAGAGCUUGCUAUUACGGGUGGCGAGUGGAGGACGGGGGAGGAAUACAUCGGAAUAUACUUUUUCGCGGGGGCUAACGUAGGGAAACAUACGCUAAUACCGCAUACGACCUACGGGUGAAAGCAGGGGAUCUUCGGACCUUGCGCGAUUGAAUGAGCCGAUGUCGGAUUAGCUAGUUGGCGGGGUAAAGGCCCACCAAGGCGACGAUCCGUAGCUGGUCUGAGAGGAUGAUCAGCCACACUGGAACUGAGACACGGUCCAGACUCCUACGGGAGGCAGCAGUGGGGAAUAUUGGACAAUGGGCGCAAGCCUGAGCCAGCCAUACCGCGUGGGUGAAGAAGGCCUUCGGGUUGUAAAGCCCUUUUGUUGGGAAAGAAAAGCAGCAGGUUAAUACCCCGCUGUUCUGACGGUACCCAAAGAAUAAGCACCGGCUAACUUCGUG
rnacentral:rRNA from 1 species